AUCCUCCAACCCAAACACACCCACAGCGUCUCUCCCUUCAAGGCUCUUCUGUUCAAGCUGCUCCUGUACGGCAGCGCUAGCUCAAGAAGAGCCCAGGCUGAAGGACCGGCCGGUUGGAUGGGGGGAGAAAAGGGGGAACCGCUCUCCAAGUCCCAGCAGCGUCCUCGGUUGCUCAAGGCCACCAGAGGCUGGUUAUGUUCGUGGGUUUUUGCCACACUCUUGGCUUCCCCUUCCCCCUGUCUGGCCCCAAGCUAGCCAGGGGGAUGUUUCACCCCAAACCACCCCCGGCCCUCGCUUUCUCCCCCCAGAAAGCUGCCGGAGGAAGCCCACGGGCGACCCCCAGAACCAGCGGCGCAUUCCGAGCAGGGCCGGGCAAGGAAACCCGAGCCGGGGGCACACAUCUGGGGCCAGCUCGUUGCUCCCCCCCCCCCCGCAGCCCCAGGGCAGGAGCUGUCAGUGCCUUUCCGCCGCAGCCCGCCGCGCCAGGCGGGGCCCCGGGGCCGCCCCGACGGCUCCCUGCCGGCUGCGGAGCCCCUCGAGCACCGGGGAGGCGAAGGGGAGAGCCCCGAUGCGCUGCGGCGGAGCGGGAGGAGGAUGAGAGCGGACGGACGGAGCCAGACCCCAACCCUCGCUGCCUUUCCCAGCGCCCCCAAGCCCCCCUUGCCCCCUUUACCUUAAUAGUGCCGUCCAUCUAGAAUAACUUCCAGCCGGGACCAGCAAUAUUCCACACAUUGACCCGGUUUAGCCUGCAACCGAAGCCUCCUGAAGUUUGUGUGAUCCUUCUCUGUCCCUUCGCUUUCCUCCCUGCCCUUGCAGCGGGUCUGCGUCUCUCCCCUCUCCUCCUCUCCCUCCCUCCCUCCCCGUCUCUCUCUUUUUUUAACUUUGGUUGUUGCAGCAGAGCAGAGCGAAAAAGAGACAGUUAACCGGAUGAACCGUUUUUUUCUGCUAAUUUUGGGAAGUGAAGUCACUCGAGGAGGAAACUUUCGUCUCUCCGCUGGUCCUGCCUUCUCGAUGAAAAAAGACAUAUAUUUUACAUA